rnacentral:rRNA from 1 species
UGCCUAAUACAUGCAAGUCGAGCGAACAGACGAGGAGCUUGCUCCUCUGACGUUAGCGGCGGACGGGUGAGUAACACGUGGAUAACCUACCUAUAAGACUGGGAUAACUUCGGGAAACCGGAGCUAAUACCGGAUAAUAUAUUGAACCGCAUGGUUCAAUAGUGAAAGACGGUUUUGCUGUCACUUAUAGAUGGAUCCGCGCCGCAUUAGCUAGUUGGUAAGGUAACGGCUUACCAAGGCAACGAUGCGUAGCCGACCUGAGAGGGUGAUCGGCCACACUGGAACUGAGACACGGUCCAGACUCCUACGGGAGGCAGCAGUAGGGAAUCUUCCGCAAUGGGCGAAAGCCUGACGGAGCAACGCCGCGUGAGUGAUGAAGGUCUUCGGAUCGUAAAACUCUGUUAUUAGGGAAGAACAAAUGUGUAAGUAACUAUGCACGUCUUGACGGUACCUAAUCAGAAAGCCACGGCUAACUACGUGCCAGCAGCCGCGGUAAUACGUAGGUGGCAAGCGUUAUCCGGAAUUAUUGGGCGUAAAGCGCGCGUAGGCGGUUUUUUAAGUCUGAUGUGAAAGCCCACGGCUCAACCGUGGAGGGUCAUUGGAAACUGGAAAACUUGAGUGCAGAAGAGGAAAGUGGAAUUCCAUGUGUAGCGGUGAAAUGCGCAGAGAUAUGGAGGAACACCAGUGGCGAAGGCGACUUUCUGGUCUGUAACUGACGCUGAUGUGCGAAAGCGUGGGGAUCAAACAGGAUUAGAUACCCUGGUAGUCCACGCCGUAAACGAUGAGUGCUAAGUG